rnacentral:rRNA from 1 species
GACGAACGCUGGCGGCGUGCUUAACACAUGCAAGUCGAACGGUGAUGCUCCAGCUUGCUGGAGUGGAUCAGUGGCGAACGGGUGAGUAACACGUGAGCAGCCUGCCCCAGACUCUGGAAUAAGCGCUGGAAACGGCGUCUAAUACUGGAUACGAAACUGGCCCGCAUGGGCAUGGUUUGGAAAGUUUUUCGGUUUGGGAUGGGCUCGCGGCCUAUCAGCUUGUUGGUGAGGUAAUGGCUCACCAAGGCGACGACGGGUAGCCGGCCUGAGAGGGCGACCGGCCACACUGGGACUGAGACACGGCCCAGACUCCUACGGGAGGCAGCAGUGGGGAAUAUUGCACAAUGGGCGAAAGCCUGAUGCAGCGACGCCGCGUGAGGGAUGACGGCCUUCGGGUUGUAAACCUCUUUCAGCAGGGAAGAAGCGAAAGUGACGGUACCUGCAGAAGAAGCACCGGCUAACUACGUG